GAAAAUUUUGGGCCUAAUUAAACAGUAUGUCCUACCACCCAGUAUUUCCUACCACUAAUCAAACAGCAUUUCCUUACCAUCACUUCUCUAUGUGAGGUCCUCCAGAGUGUCAGCAUAUUUCUAGGCCUCCUAUACAGUAUAGUAAGCAAGAGAGAUGCUUCCAGGAAGUGUACCUUCUAGCAGGAGGCAAGCAACAAUGAUUACCAAGAUGUCAUUUGUAUGGAAGCCAAAACUGGAGACAUGCUGAAUAUGUGAAUACCGAGGAAGUGGUUUCCUUAGCAAUAACA